CGCAGGUCAAAGGAUCACUCACACCACUACAGCAUUAAAAAAAUCAUUGAUGAAUGAGUAGACAUCCAAGUGGUUUCUUGUAUUGAUCACACUCAGUAUAAGUUAUUCUCUAACAAUCACCUGCACUCUCACCUCGGUGUCUCCACAGUGUAGACUCGAGAUUCAUCUGUCUGGAAGGGAGGUGAUCCAUGCAUCGAUCUAACUGGAUCGAUCACUAUCCUCCGUGAUGGUCUU
rnacentral:lncRNA from 1 species